AACGAACGCUGGCGGCAUGCCUAACACAUGCAAGUCGAACGAGACCUUCGGGUCUAGUGGCGCACGGGUGCGUAACGCGUGGGAACCUGCCCUUAGGUUCGGAAUAACUCCCCGAAAGGGGUGCUAAUACCGGAUAAUGUCUUCGGACCAAAGAUUUAUCGCCUUUGGAUGGGCCCGCGUUGGAUUAGCUAGUUGGUAGGGUAAAAGCCUACCAAGGCGACGAUCCAUAGCUGGUCUGGGAGGAUGAUCAGCCACACUGGGACUGAGACACGGCCCAGACUCCUACGGGAGGACGCAGUGGGGAAUAUUGGACAAUGGGCGAGAGCCUGAUCCAGCAAUGCCGCGUGAGUGAUGAAGGCCUUAGGGUUGUAAAGCUCUUUUACCCGGGAUGAUAAUGACAGUACCGGGAGAAUAAGCGCCGGCUAACUCCGUG
rnacentral:rRNA from 1 species